GGGCACAUCGUUCAACGGCUAGGACAUUACCUUGUCACGGUAAAGAUAGGGGUUCGAUUCCCCCUUGCGCCCGCCA
rnacentral:tRNA from 1 species